ensembl:snRNA U6 U6 spliceosomal RNA
GAAGGUCUGUGCUUGCUUCCCAUACUAAAGUUGGAAUGACAGAGAUUAGCAAGGCCCCUGCACAAGCCUGACACGCACAUUCAUGAAGCAUUUCGUAUUUUA